UACGAAGGGGGCGAGCGUUGUUCGGAUUUACUGGGCGUAAAGGGCGCGCAGGCGGUUCUGUUUGUCGAGUGUGAAAGCCCCGGGCUCAACCUGGGAACUGCGCUCGAAACGGCGGAACAGAGUUCGGGAGAGGAGAGUGGAAUUCCCAGUGUAGAGGUGAAAUUCGUAGAUAUUGGGAAGAACACCGGUGGCGAAGGCGGCUCUCUGGACCGAUACUGACGCUGAGGCGCGAAAGCGUGGGGAGCAAACAGG
rnacentral:rRNA from 1 species